rnacentral:miRNA from 1 species
AUCCACAUUACCUUUGGGUCUUGUUAAAAAUGCAAACUCCGAUUCAGGUGAUGGGAUCUGCAUUCUGCAAGCUCACUGGUGAUGCCUGU